rnacentral:rRNA from 1 species
AACGAACGCUGGCGGCAUGCCUAACACAUGCAAGUCGAACGAGACCUUCGGGUCUAGUGGCGCACGGGUGCGUAACGCGUGGGAAUCUGCCCUUGGGUUCGGAAUAACAGUUGGAAACGACUGCUAAUACCGGAUGAUGACGUAAGUCCAAAGAUUUAUCGCCCAGGGAUGAGCCCGCGUAGGAUUAGCUAGUUGGUGGGGCAAAGGCCUACCAAGGCGACGAUCCUUAGCUGGUCUGAGAGGAUGAUCAGCCACACUGGGACUGAGACACGGCCCAGACUCCUACGGGAGGCAGCAGUGGGGAAUAUUGGACAAUGGGCGAAAGCCUGAUCCAGCAAUGCCGCGUGAGUGAUGAAGGCCUUAGGGUUGUAAAACUCUUUUACCCGGGAUGAUAAUGACAGUACCGGGAGAAUAAGCCCCGGCUAACUCCGUG